UGCAGUCGAGCGAAUCUUGAGGUGCUUGCACCUCUUGGUUAGCGGCGGACGGGUGAGUAACACGUGGGCAACCUGCCUGUAAGACUGGGAUAACUUCGGGAAACCGGAGCUAAUACCGGAUAAUCCUUUUCCUCUCAUGAGGAAAAGCUGAAAGUCGGUUUCGGCUGACACUUACAGAUGGGCCCGCGGCGCAUUAGCUAGUUGGUGAGGUAACGGCUCACCAAGGCGACGAUGCGUAGCCGACCUGAGAGGGUGAUCGGCCACACUGGGACUGAGACACGGCCCAGACUCCUACGGGAGGCAGCAGUAGGGAAUCUUCCGCAAUGGACGAAAGUCUGACGGAGCAACGCCGCGUGAGCGAUGAAGGCCUUCGGGUCGUAAAGCUCUGUUGUUAGGGAAGAACAAGUAUCGGAGUAACUGCCGGUACCUUGACGGUACCUAACCAGAAAGCCACGGCUAACUACGUGCCAGCAGCCGCGGUAAUACGUAGGUGGCAAGCGUUGUCCGGAAUUAUUGGGCGUAAAGCGCGCGCAGGCGGUCCUUUAAGUCUGAUGUGAAAGCCCACGGCUCACCCGUGAGGGUCAUUGUAAACUGGGGGACUUGAGUGCAGAGA
rnacentral:rRNA from 1 species